UAGAAGAGUUAUAUAUAACCUUAGGCAAUUAAUGGAUUUUUUUUUUUUUGGAUGAAAAAUGGAUUUGAGGACAAAAUUUCAUUUCCGAAAGGAGUACCGGAGUGAGCCGGCCGGAAGAAGAUGACGAUCGCUAAGCCUUGCCUUCGCCCUUCAACGUGGCCGUUUCAAUCCCAAUCAUCAUCAUCGCCUCCAAACUCACAAACCCAAAUUCAAAUGGUAAUUUACUUCAGACUUUUGGCUCAAAUGAUGGUAGUAACCGACUGAGGCUUGAGGUUUGUGGGUGUGCUGCAAUUUCAAGGACAGUGCAAGGUACCCUUUUGCCCUUUUGCUCUAUCUAAUCAUAGGUUUUGAAUUUUUUGGUCUGUUUCCACAUUUGGUUAUGAUUAGAAAGUUUUGGAUUAAGUUGACAAGUACAUUCGAUCCAGAGUUCUCAUUCAGUGCUUGAACUUGCCACUGAUUCUGAGUUAUUUGAGCUUGAAAACGUUCUUUUUGGCCCAAGGUGUUGUUAUUUCCUGCAAUUUUGAAAAGCAAUUAGAAAAUUGUUGAUUUGAAGUAUGAAUAAUGAAUUAGGUACUAAUAUAUAUUGUUUGAAAGCUGUCGAUCUCCAGCUAUUCAGCCCUUUGCUUAAAUCAAUACCAAGUGGAGCCAAUGUGGAUACCAUGAAAUGAUCAACAAAGAUCUUCAAGAACCAGAUGAAUUCACAGCUUCCUUGCAGCCGAUGCUCAAUCUACAUUAAGGGGUUGGCACUUAGAAGCCAUCAUAGAGAAAUGUCUUGGUUGGAGUGGGAAAAAAUUAAAUAUUCCUUGCUCAAGCAAAUUGUCAACUGCAAGCCAUGAAGCAGAAACAUUUAUUUUUUUAUUGCAGGAUAACUUGAGGCAUGUUUUCUAGUUAAAUAUCUAAACUUUUUACUCUUGGAUCAGAGAAAAUGAAAGGCAGGAUGUACUUUCCAGCGUUGUCAAUUCAUUUUUCACUAGAAAUGCUUGUUAAUCUCCAUUUAAUUUGACAACUUACAGCAUUAGAGGAUCUUGUGUCUUAUAAAAAUGUCAAAUAAACUUUUCUUUUAUUAUUAUUUUUUAAAUGUAUGCUAAUGACUUAGAGCUUGUCACCAUCUUCAUGCAGUGAAGAAUACGGAACUUCUCCAGGCUGAUUGGAAUUUACUCAGUCAAAGGAAGGUGCGGGGUGGUGGUAUGAUUACAUUGGCAAAUUACUAUUGGUUGGUAAGAGAGCACCAGCUGAGUUAAUGUCAUCUUCACUUAGUUCCUUUCUGAUUUAUUAUAUUUAUCUAUGGUAGUUGUCAAUAGGGUUUACCAGUUUGCUGGUCUUGUUCUGCAGAAGAAAACUGAGGGUGAAUCAGUAAUUGAAGGACCUUUUUAUUUAUUUAUUUUUAUUUUACUUUUUCCGCAUGGUGUAGACCCCAUGCUUGACUAGAAGUAGCUAGUCGCUUUUCUUCAAACACGGCUGAGAUGGAUUUGGACAAAAUGGGAAUGACUUUUACAGAUAUGACCUCCUUGUAGGCAAUGGAUUUUGGGAGAGAAGAAGAAAAGGGUAGUUUGUGGUUUGAAUGGGAGUGUUUCUUUGUUUUGUUUUUGUUUUUGGUGAAAUGUUUGAAUGGGAAUGUUGCUUAGUUGGGAA